rnacentral:lncRNA from 1 species
AAAUAUUUAUCUAACUCAACAAAAUAUUUACCUAACUAAAAACACAUUUACCUAACAAAAAUAUAUGUAAUUUUUGGGAGAACUAUAACAAAAUACGAAUAAAAUUAAUGGAGAAUAAAAAGACAAUUAUAGAAGAAAAUGUUAUUGAGAAACAAAAAUUUUAAAAUUGAUGAAGAAGAAUCUAGACAAGAACAACCAUUACACAUGACCCUCAUUUCUCUGACUAAGCUU